rnacentral:lncRNA from 10 species
UGCUUUGCUCCCGCUGGGAGCUGUAGACCGGAGCUGUUCCUAUUCAGCCAUCUUGGCUCCUCCUGACUUUGUUUUUUUAUAAUCUUGCUUACAUGUUUUCAUGACUCCUGGCAUGGGGAGUAGCUACAGAGAAAUCUAAGAAUGGCCCUGUCUGAGAGAUAUGUUACCCUAAACACCAAGACUCAAUAUAUAUGACUUAAGAAAAAAAAGAUCCUUAUGCACUAUCUGAAGGUGAUGCUUCCUGACUUUUGCAACAGGUAGGACAUCUUUCUCCUCUGUGCUCCUUCCUUUUCCUCAUGAGAGAAGAAUGGACUAACCUCAUUGAUUGAGAUUGUCAUGACAAUGUGUCUCCUCCCCUUUCCUUUCUGAUUCUGGGUUGAACCCCAAGGAAACAUGAUGAACCAGGUUGCAUGACUGUGAAGGCAGGAUAAAAGAAAAGCAGAAGAACCACAUUAAUCAUGGCAGACAUUGAUGAAGAAGGACAAUGAGGUUUUUCUGGUGGGUUUCUGGAGAAAUCAACUGUCAACAUUCUGCAAAACAAUCACUGACUCAAAAAACUCAAGAAGGGAGUAAAGAUAAUUAAUAAAGUAAGUUAAGUUGUAUUAUACCCACAAAUACAAACCAGUGGAAUCAUUUCUGGGUAACAUAUUGAGCUAAUAAAGUAGUAAAAAGGUGUCAAUGAUUUUAGGUAAAAGAUAUUGCCACCCCACUCUUCUUAUGUGGCGAUGCCUAAAGAAGAGAUCGCGCUGGCUGCAAUAAUGCCCCAAUGGUCAAGAUAUGCCAGUUAUUCAAAUUGGAAAAUCCAGGUAUAUUCAUGGAACUUACCAAUCUUUGGUUACUAGUAGGAAGUCUGCACAAGCAGCAACUACCACAGUUGUUCUAAAAACAGGGUGACAAAAGGCCACUCUUUCAGGCUAUGAAGACAUUUUGGCUUUUGUUUUCACAAUUAGAGACUCAGCAGCUUUCUGGACAGAAACUGCUGGAGUCCAGGCUAUGGCAUACUUGUUUCAUCUGCCCUCUCC